ensembl:lncRNA
AUGGAGGCAUUACAAGAUCUUGUCCCAGUGAAUUCAGUUACAAAAUUCUCAUUACUUCAAGGGACCAAGAUGUCAUACAUUGCACUUGAGCAGUUAAGAUUUGAUAGUGAUUGGAGUGAUGAAUGCAACAAGAGGAGGAGGGCUUGUAGUAUGAGAUUUUUCAGAAAAUGGAGAAAUGUGUUGAAAGCUGUGGAGUUUCCAUUGGACAGCAGAAGCAUUGAGGGCUCAGAACAGCCACAGGUAAGAAAAACAGCUUCUGUUCUGCACAUAUUUGUAUCUUGUUUAAGUAAUGCUUGUGUCCUGUCUCCAUAAUGUUUAUACUAGAAACGUAAAGUCCUGUCAGGCUUCAUUUCAAAUAAAAGAGCUUCAAAUCCUAUCCCUCAGAUCAGUCAAUUUUCAUCAGCUAAGGUAAAAUCACCCCCAGGUACCUUCCAUGUGAAAUUAACUGGAUAUGCUCUGAUUGCAGACCAUGCAGUGCAUGCCACAGUAUUGCUGGAAUUUAUACAAAUUGCUGUUAUUAAUGCCAUGCCUGCUGUUACAGUAGAAGAAACAAGGUAAAUAGCUAUAGUUCUAAUAAUUUUCUCUUGGGAAUUGAAGAAAAACAUUUAGAUUUAGACACCUCUGCUUUAUUUUUGUGUCAUAAAACAGAAAUAAUGCCAAUUCUGGAGAAACUUUCUCCAUUUGUCAUAGAGGCAGCUGGUUUCCUUCAUUCUACUGAUUCUCAACUCAAUGAGAAUGAGUUAUUCUCAUUCUACUGAGAAUAACUAAAAAGUUGUCCUUAUGGCUAAAUGUUAUUCCAUUAUAUAAAUCCUGGAUGUUAUUCCAAUGCACAAAAUCUGAAAGAAGAAAAGGUAAAACCAGUGUAUUAGGUUGGUUGCUGAGAGAAAAAUCGUGACAUGAAAUAUUUCAUCUUGAGAUGAAAUAUUGAUUAAAUCUGGCAACAAAACGUGGUGGGAACUGGAAUGGGUGCUAAGAAUGUUUAACAAAGAUGGAACAAUACCAACACCAUAGGUGGUCCCUGUAUAACAGACUUAGGGCAAUAGCCACAAUUAUUUUGUAUUUUCUAGAGAUUAAUUUGGCUUUGAAAAAUGCAAGUUCAUAAACACACAUACCUAUGCAUCAUUUUGCAGGGCACAUUUGCAAUUUGUCUUCGAAAACAAGAAGAAAAGCAUUCCAGUUAUGACAGUUUCUAUUUUUAAAAUGGCUUAUGGAAAAACAAAAAAAUGAAUCAAACAAAGUGCUACAAAAAUCUGCAGCAGGAGAGAUGAUAACAAUAGGAUGGGCCACUCAGCCCUGGAUAGUCAGAAGCAUUACUCUGAUGUCUAAUGUACUCAGCUCUUUCCAUGGCUUUCUCCUUCCUCCCACAAUUACCACAGGCCUGUUUGGUUAGGAAUUUCAGCCAGUCUGACCAUAUGACACUUAUUUUUUCCUGUGAAGAGCCUCACCAAAAGGGAGUUUUCAAGGUUUUUUAGGUUUGGUUUUUUUUUAAUAUAUUUUGAUAUUUUAUUUUUUUUAAAGGCCAAUUCUGACUCCCAAGAGAUAUUCCUUCCAGUCAAGGAAAGAUAAUGGAAAAGCUACUAAAGCUCUUAGUUCCUAUAGUUACAGUCUUUACCAUACAUGAACUGCAAGGUUUUGGGACACUGAUAAUUAAAAAGAGUAUAAACAGGUUUUCAAAGUGUGUUCACCCAUAUUCAGUGAGGUGAUUUUGGCACAGGUGGAUCUGUCCUUAUCCCUGCUUUUUGUGCGUGAUCCCAUCUGCUUCCUCAGGCCAGAACUGCAAUUGCGUGUCCAUGGGAUAAUGCAAAUCAGGGAACUAAUCUGGGGCUGGGAAAAAAGGAUGCUGAGUCCAUAGUCUGGUUCAUUGUGUAGCCACAUAAGGCUCCAUGCUGGGAUGAAGGGAGGACAAGGAUUAAACCAGGGACCACCCAUUCCAGCGACAUUGGUUCAAACAGAUCAAGAAAGCUUAGCCAGAUGGCCUGAUCCAAAUCCUGCCAAAGCCACUGUGAGCCUCCACAUUAUCUCCUCUUGGAAGGAUUUCAGAGAUGGCUGAGCAGAGAGAGACUGACUCAUAAAAGCACUGUGGACAACCUGGCCAAAACAUCUGGGAAUCACCCACUGCAACUUUGCAAAGGUUCCUCACAGCACUGAGCUGUAGGGAGUCAAUCCUGUUUAAUAAGAUCCUGUGUAGAAACCAAGAAUUUGGCUCUCAGGAAGGUGAAUACACCAUACUUUUUGCUGACAGUGCAAAAAAAUCCUUCUGUAAGAAUUGUCAUGCCAGACUGAGGAAAACUAAAGGUGCAAUUCCAGGAACAUUUCUUCAAAAGCAGUCUUGGCAAUGGCUUGUGUGGAAACACUGAGCUGGACAGAGGAACUGCCAAGCCAGUAGAAGAGAAGUGUUUUUUCCCUUCCAGAUUUUUUUCCCAGCAGGAUGCCUUUUAAAGUUCAAUGCACCUCGAAGAGAAGAAUGGAAUGGAAUGGAAUGGAAUGGAAUGGAAUGGAAUGGAAUGGAAUGGAAUGGAAUGGAAUGGAAUGGAAUGGAAUGGAAUGGAAUGGAAUGGAAUGGAAUGGAAUGGAAUGGAAUGGAAUGGAAUGGAAUGGAAUGGAAUGGAAUGGAAUGGAAUGGAAUGGAAUGGAAUGGAAUGGAAUGGAAUGGAAUGGAAUGGAA